rnacentral:tRNA from 1 species
CUCCUCUUAGCUCAGUGGAUAGAGCGACUGCCUCCUAAGCAGUAGGUCGGAGGUUCAACUCCUCUAGAGGAGGCCA